AGAGUUUUGAUCCUGGCUCAGGAUAAACGCUGGCGGCGCACAUAAGACAUGCAAGUCGAACGGACUUAACCUAUUAGUUUUACUAUUUGGGGCGGUUAGUGGCGGACUGGUGAGUAACACGUAAGCAACCUGCCUAUCAGAGGGAACAACAGUUAGAAAUGACUGCUAAUACCGCAUAUACCUAAGUAACGCAUGUUACAAUAGGGAAAGGAGAAAUCCGCUGAUAGAUGGGCUUGCGUCUGAUUAGAUAGUUGUGGGGUAAAGGCCUACCAAGUCGACGAUCAGUAGCCGGACUGAGAGGUUGAACGGCCACAUUGGGACUGAGAUACGGCCCAGACUCCUACGGGAGGCAGCAGUCGGGAAUACUGCGCAAUGGAGGAAACUCUGACGCAGUGACGCCGCGUGCAGGAAGAAGGUUUUCGGAUUGUAAACUGCUUUAGACAGGGAAGAAACAAGACAGUACCUGUAGAAUAAGCUCCGGCUAACUACGUG
rnacentral:rRNA from 1 species